rnacentral:snRNA from 1 species
GGAUGUACGGGCGAUCUGGCUGCGACAUCUGUCACCCCAUUGAUCGCCAGGGUUGAUUUGGCUGAUCUGGCUGGCUAGGCGGGUGUCCCCUUCCUCCCUCACUGCUCCAUGUGCGUCCCUCCCGAAGCUGCGUGCUUGGUCGAAGAGGACGACCUUCCCCGAUAGAUACGGUACUGUUCAUCAUUUUUUAAAAUUAUUUUAUUUUAAUGGAAUGGAUU